rnacentral:rRNA from 1 species
UGGGGAAUAUUGCACAAUGGGCGAAAGCCUGAUGCAGCGACGCCGCGUGAGGGAUGACGGCCUUCGGGUUGUAAACCUCUUUCAGCAGGGAAGAAGCGAAAGUGACGGUACCUGCAGAAGAAGCGCCGGCUAACUACGUGCCAGCAGCCGCGGUAAUACGUAGGGCGCAAGCGUUGUCCGGAAUUAUUGGGCGUAAAGAGCUCGUAGGCGGUUAGUCGCGUCUGCUGUGAAAACUCGAGGCUCAACCUCGGGCUUGCAGUGGGUACGGGCUGACUAGAGUGCGGUAGGGGUGACUGGAAUUCCUGGUGUAGCGGUGGAAUGCGCAGAUAUCAGGAGGAACACCGAUGGCGAAGGCAGGUCACUGGGCCGCAACUGACGCUGAGGAGCGAAAGCAUGGGGAGCGAACAGGAUUAGAUAGCCCUGGUAGUCCAUGCCGUAAACGUUGGGCACUAGGUGUGGGUCCAUUCCACGGAUUCCGUGCCGCAGCAAAGCGCAUUAAGUGCCCCGCCUGGGGAGUACGGCCGCAAGGCUAAACUC